UACGGAGGGUGCAAGCGUUGUCCGGAAUCACUGGGCGUAAAGGGCGCGUAGGCGGCUCAUGAAGGCUGUGGUGAAAGUCCGGGGCUCAACCUCGGAUCGGCCGUGGCGACUCGUGGGCUGGAGCACUGUAGAGGCGGGUGGAAUUCCGGGUGUAGCGGUGGAAUGCGUAGAGAUCCGGAAGAACACCAGUGGCGAAGGCGGCCCGCUGGGCAGUGGCUGACGCUGAGGCGCGACAGCGUGGGGAGCAAACAGGAUUAGAUGACCCCGUAACACAAGUCUCUGCCUACCGUA
rnacentral:rRNA from 1 species